GACGAACGCUGGCGGCGUGCCUAAUACAUGCAAGUAGAACGCUGAAGAGAGGAGCUUGCUCUUCUUGGCUGAGUUGCGAACGGGUGAGUAACGCGUAGGUAACCUGCCUGGUAGCGGGGGAUAACUAUUGGAAACGAUAGCUAAUACCGCAUAAAAUUGAUUAUUGCAUGAUAAUUAAUUGAAAGAUGCAACUGCAUCACUACCAGAUGGACCUGCGUUGUAUUAGCUAGUUGGUGAGGUAACGGCUCACCAAGGCGACGAUACAUAGCCGACCUGAGAGGGUGAUCGGCCACACUGAGACUGAGACACGCCCCAGACUCCUACGGGAGGCAGCAGUAGGGAAUCUUCGGCAAUGGGUGGAACCCUGACCGAGCAACGCCGCGUGAGUGAAGAAUGUUGUCGUAUCGUAAAGCUCUGUUGUAAGGGAAGAACGGGUGUGAGAGUGGAAAGUUCACACUGUGACGGUAGCUUACCAGAAAGGGACGGCUAACUACGUG
rnacentral:rRNA from 1 species